UAGUGGGCUUUCAGCUGCCUUCUCGCGAUGUUCAGUCAGCAAACGUCGAUUUCAGAUUCAGAGAACCUAUUCCUGCAAAAAGAGCAAGAGAGUUUACACUGCUGGUGCUGAUCGGCCGUCAUUUCCUAACGGAUGUUCUUCGAGCCAGGCCAAACCGCCAAAGCCAUAUAUAUGUUGUAUGUAUUUUCAAAGCUUGUGGCAUGUAAACACAUUUCUGUUCAGAAAUGCAGUUUGCACUGUCAACUUGCCUCGCUGCAGCUAGCCUAGGCCUAAUGGCUCUACAAAAGCAGUGCCAACAGUAGUUAUUUUCUGUCGGUCGUUGACAGUCUCGUUGUUGUAAGACAUGACUGUCAGGUUCUCGGUGGAUGAGGAGGGGGAUUUGGGGAAUUCCUGUCUGAAGAAGAGACAGGGGAUCGAUAGGAGAGGCGGGUACUCUAGUUUUCUAGUGCGAGAAAAGGACAUACAAUGUAAUUUAGGGUUUUCUUUCUUAUCCUCUUCUUAGCCAGCAAUGAGUUUAUUACAUACUUGUAGGGCAAUUCACUGGGAUCCGAAUUACAGUUUAUACUGAAUGUAAAGGAUACAUGAACAGAGGUGAAACGUAACAGGGGGGUAAACUUGUUGGUACCAUUCUUGUUCGUUGGAUCUGGAGAUCUGGACCGUUUAUUUGAUAUAGUGAUUCCUUUCUGCUGGCUUUACGCCUCCCCCCCUGAUCUUUACGUCUUCGCCAAUGUCUCUUCUCUGAACUUCCU
rnacentral:lncRNA from 1 species